AGAGCCAAACUUGUGGCAUAGGGAAGUUCCCAGGCUAGGGGUCAAAUCAGAGUUACAGCCGCCAGCCUGCACUACAGCCACAGCAAUGCCGGAUCCUAACCCACUGAGCGAGACCAGUGAUCUGAACCCGCAUCCUCAUGGACACUAUGUUGGGUUCUUAACCCACUGAGCCACAACAGGAACUCCUGGGUGAUCUCAUUUUAACCACAGGAGCUUUCAGCCAAAUGUUGCUGAAGGGCCUGUGUCUGCCAGAGUCCUGUAAAGUCUGCCAGGGCACCUCCCUCGGCAUUUCCAGACAUCCCUGGGAGAGCAGAAUCCCUUUGAUGUGUCAUUGACACACUGGGGACCAAGUGACAAGAAUGGGGCUCUCAGGAGACAGGAUUCUUGGCCUGUGCUCCUCACUGGAUGAUUCUGUUACUUUAAGAGCAUUUUUAAUGAGACGCCAGCAGCCUUCAGUGAUUUCUCAGAGCUGCUGUGCCUUCUGCAUCCCAGUGAAAUCUGGGCACAUAAAUAGUCAUUAACGCAUCCAUUAGAAAGAGAAAAUGGAAGACCCUGGAAAGUAGCAGGGAUUCUACAAGUUCUACAAGCCCCAGGACCCUUGCUGGAACUGUGUCAAGGCAAGGCAGUGACAAGGCCUGAGAAGAGCAGCUUUCUUCCCAAACGAUGUCACUCGAGGGCGGGAAGCCCCACCCCCCGUCGCGGGCCGACCUGGUGUUUUCCGCCUUCUUGCUCCCCAGCUGCCAUCUGCGAGGGACGUGGGGCUGCUUUAGAGGGACAGGGUCCUUGGGGGAGGGGGCCGCUGCCAGGAAGGGUUCUGGGCUCAGGGUGGAAGGAGGAGGUGGGGGAACUGGGGUGACUGGGUCAGAGAAACGUCUCAACACCUUCCGAUCUCCAAGGUGGGUUGUCACCCUGCUCCUGGAGGGCGAGAGCGUUGGGUUCCUGGUGGGCAGGGGGGAGGGGUGCCAUCAGAGCAGCUUCCAGUUCUUUCCCGCAGCAUGUCUCCUCCCCCAAGGGGAUGUAAAUCUGUCUUCUCCGUUCCUGUUCCUCAGUCUCUGAAAUGCCCCAAGUGAGGGCGGGGUGGUGCUGGGAGGAGGAAAAAAUGCGCCAGCUCCUUCCUCUCGCCAAGGCUUGGCUGUGGCUGCGGUGGGAGUUUUUGUUUGGGUUUGUUUUUGCUUUUUCCUUUUCAUCAAUCCGUUCUGGGGCUGCCACGGAAAACAGCUCUCUCCAGCUUCUUCCGGGGGCGAUUGUGCAUGUAACCCCCGGGCCAGCCUUGUGUCUCUCUAAUUCCUUCUGAUAACCCCAAGGGAAUGUAGGUUUUGUUCACCUGCAACUCCCAGGCACAGUGCUUUCCCAGCCUGCCACAGGGAAGCUUUAUGCUGUGAUAGAUCCCAGGGCACUCAGAGUCCAGCACUUAAAACGGAGGGACUGACACUGACCAAGCACCAAUUGUAUGCCAGGAACUCUUCUAAAGUGCUUUAUGUGUGUUGAACCAGUUAACCUGCCAGGUAGGUAUUGUUCUCUGUUUUCAGAUGAGGAAACAGGCUUGAAGAGGUAAGAAAAUUGUGCAAGGUUGCACAGCCAGGCUAGGGCAGGCUGGCAUUCUGACUCCACUAUGCCAUACCCUCAGGGGUGCAUUGUAUUUUUUUCCCUGUGGCUGCACAGGAGGGUAUGUAUUCACAUCUCCAUUUCUGGUUAUUUAACUUCUUUCAGAAAUUUGUACUGGUGCUCUCUUGUGCUGCAAUAGGUUCAGGUUCUGGCUCAGGUGGCUGCAGUGGGGUGGGUUUGAUCCCUGGUCUGAGAACUUCGGCAUGCCAUAGGCAUGGCCAAAAAAUACAAAAACUUAAAAAUUAUAAAAUUAUUUUUUGCUAUUAUUAAUAAUAUAGCGAUGAAUGUUUUUGGAAUAAUAACAGUUAUGCUUAACAUGUUUUGAACUGCUAAUGGUGUGACAAGCACUAUUUCUUUUUUUUUGGAAUUAUUAUUUUGUAAUUCCUCUAGCAAUCUCUAUUUAUUUAUUCUUUUUAUUUUUACUUAUGUGUUUUUUAAUUUUUAUUUUAUUUUAUUUUGCUGCAAAUAGAAGUUCCCAGGCUAGGGGUCCAAUCAGAGCUGCAGCUGCCAGCCUACCCCACGGCUCACAGCAACACCAGAUCCUUAACCCACUGACAGAGGCCAGGGAUUGAACCGGCGUCCUCAUACUAGUCAGGUUCAUUUCCACUGAGCCGUGAAGGGAACUCCUGUUUAUUCUUUUUAUUUAUGUAUAGUUGAUUUACAGUGUUGGGCCAGGCACUCUUUCAAGUUCUUUAUGCAUCCUAACUAAUUUAAUCUCUUGUGACUACUCUGAGUGCUGUAUAACUGAUGAGGAAACUGAGGCCAGAGCAGUUGGUUAACUAUUUCAUGCAGGUUGCACAAUUAGUAACUGCCAGUGCUGUCUCAAGGCUGUUGUUCUUAGGAGGCUUCUUGGACAUUUCCCCCNNNNNNNNNNNNNNNNNNNNNNNNNNNNNNNNNNNNNNNNNNNNNNNNNNNNNNNNNNNNACCAAACACUUCACCAGCAGAGUCUCCUACAGUUCAGUCACUUUGGACAGUGAUACCCCGAGAGAGCCUCAGACCCCAUAGGUUAAGGGUUCGGUCUCAUAAGACAGAACCCUACCCUCCCCCAACUCCCUCCUCCCCAGCCCCACCCCAUCUGACCAGUCACAAGUCCAGGUUGUGACUGUUCAUCUGACCUACUAGCUGUAGAUGGGAGGCUCCAACGACCCACUCCUUGUGUUCCAUUAAUUUGCUAGAGCGACUCACAGAACUCAGAAAUAUUCCCUUCUAGGUCACUGGUUUCUUCUGAAAGACUAGCGCUCGGGAACAGACAGCUGGAAGGGAUGCAUGGGGCAAGGUGUGGCAAGAGGGGGAGGGGCUCCCAUGCCAGGCACACACUCUCCCCUGAAUCUCCACCUGUUCCCCCGCCCGAAAGCUCUCUGAAUUCCGUCUCUCUAGGUUUUUAUGGAGAUUUCGUUACAUCAGCACGAUUGAUUCCGUCCUUGGCCAUUGGUGAUUGAUUAAGCCUUCAGCCCCUCUCCCCUCCCUAGAGGUCAGGAUGUGGGACUGAACUAAUCACAGGGUUGGUUGUCCUGGCAAUCAGCCCCCACUCAUCUUUAGGUGUGGUCUAAAAGUCAAUUCAUUAUCGUUAACAAAAGACCCCUUAAUGGGUCUCCUCACUUGGAAAAUUCCAGGAGUUUAGGAAUGCUAUGCCAGAAAUGAAAUGAAGACCAAAUAUAUAUUUCUUAUUACAAAGCACAAUAUCAUAGGGUGAGAUUCAGAUAGAACAGGAGAGGCUUUAGGGGGAAAAUAAAGUAAUCAAAGUUUUAAGGUAAUAUUGUAUAGAAGAUGUGAUAUGAGUCAGGUUGUUAUAGAAAAAAAAAAGAAAAGAAAAA
ensembl:lncRNA